GGAAUCUUAGACAAUGGGGGAAACCCUGAUCUAGCCAUGCCGCGUGAGUGACGAAGGCCCUAGGGUCGUAAAGCUCUUUCGCCAGGGAAGAUAAUGACGGUACCUGGGAAAGAAGUCCCGGCUAACUCCGUGCCAGCCGCCGCGGUAAUACGGAGGGGACUAGCGUUGUUCGGAAUUACUGGGCGUAAAGCGCACGUAGGCGGAUCAGAAAGUUGGGGGUGAAAUCCCAGGGCUCAACCCUGGAACGGCCUCCAAAACUCCUGGUCUUGAGUUCGAGAGAGGUGAGUGGAAUUCCGAGUGUAGAGGUGAAAUUCGUAGAUAUUCGGAGGAACACCAGUGGCGAAGGCGGCUCACUGGCUCGAUACUGACGCUGAGGUGCGAAAGUGUGGGGAGCAAAC
rnacentral:rRNA from 1 species